AUUGAACGCUGGCGGCAGGCCUAACACAUGCAAGUCGAGCGGAUGAGGGUAGCUUGCUAUCUGAUUCAGCGGCGGACGGGUGAGUAAUGCCUAGGAAUCUGCCUGGUAGUGGGGGACAACGUUUCGAAAGGAACGCUAAUACCGCAUACGUCCUACGGGAGAAAGUGGGGGAUCUUCGGACCUCACGCUAUCAGAUGAGCCUAGGUACGAUUAGCUAGUUGGUGAGGUAAAGGCUCACCAAGGCGACGAUCGUUAACUGGUCUGGGAGGAUGAUCAGUCACACUGGAACUGAGACACGGUCCAGACUCCUACGGGAGGCAGCAGUGGGGAAUAUUGGACAAUGGGCGAAAGCCUGAUCCAGCCAUGCCGCGUGUGUGAAGAAGGUCUUCGGAUUGUAAAGCACUUUAAGUUGGGAGGAAGGGCAGUAAGUUAAUACCUUGCUGUUUUGACGUUACCAACAGAAUAAGCACCGGCUAACUUCGUGCCAGCCGCCGCAGUAAGAC
rnacentral:rRNA from 1 species